rnacentral:rRNA from 1 species
UCUACACGACUCUCGGCAACGGAUAUCUCGGCUCUCGCAUCGAUGAAGAACGUAGCGAAAUGCGAUACCUGGUGUGAAUUGCAGAAUCCCGCGAACCAUCGAGUCUUUGAACGCAAGUUGCGCCCGAGGCCAUUCGGCCGAGGGCACGCCUGCCUGGGCGUCACG